UACGAAGGGGGCUAGCGUUGUUCGGAAUUACUGGGCGUAAAGAGCUCGUAGGUCGUUUGUUACGUCGGAUGUGAAAACCUGAGGCUCAACCUCAGGCCUGCAUUCGAUACGGGCAAACUAGAGUUUGGUAGGGGAGACUGGAAUUCCUGGUGUAGCGGUGGAAUGCGCAGAUAUCAGGAGGAACACCAAUGGCGAAGGCAGGUCUCUGGGCCAAUACUGACACUGAGGAGCGAAAGUCUGGGGAGCGAACAGG
rnacentral:rRNA from 1 species